rnacentral:rRNA from 1 species
GACGAAGGACCCAAGCGUUAUCCGGAUUCAUUGGGUUUAAAGGGUGCGUAGGCGGAUUGAUAAGUCAGUGGUGAAAGCCUGCAGCUUAACUGCAGAACUGCCAUUGAUACUGUCGAUCUUGAAUAUGUUUGAUGUGGGCGGAAUAUGACAUGUAGCGGUGAAAUGCUUAGAUAUGUCAUAGAACACCGAUUGCGAAGGCAGCUCACAAAGCCAUAAUUGACGCUGAGGCACGAAAGCGUGGGGAGCAAAC